rnacentral:snoRNA from 1 species
UUGGCCCUGAAUCAAGGCCGGCAGUUUGCCGAAGCUGUUGGUUUCAAACAGGAGCCUAAAGAAUUAUCUUUCUAUGGUCUGUUGGCCAUUUCAGAACUUUGGAAAUGUAAUGGUCAAUUUGUCAGAAAGAAACAUCU